GAGCCGUGGGAGCCUGGGAAUCACCGUCACCCUCUCCCUGCUUCCUGCGGCCCUGUCAGUCAGCACAAGGGACACAUCCCGGCUCCAACGUCCGCGAAGCCUGCUGUUACCCGGCUGCGGGGGCUCUGUGACUGUGUCUUCCUGCGUGAGUGGAAAACCACACAGCGGAGGGAAAAACACAGUGAGUGGAAAACCACCUCCCUCCAUUUCUCCUGCUCAUUUGCAAGGGCCUCCGACUCGGGCCACCUCCUCAGAGCUGACAGAGCAGGCUCCGAGAGAGCCACGGGGUGACUGAAAGGAUGAUCUUUGGAAUUUUUCCACUUCCUGUCCCUCUCUGCAUUCCAGUGUCAACAGUGACACUGCAGAAGAAUAUGCUGCCCUUGCUGCGGUGUCCCAGGGCCUCUGGCCGUCUGGGCUUUGAUUAUGGUUGCGGGAACAGCCCCGUGGGGAGAUGAUGGGAGGACUUUCUGUCUCCUCCUUCCCAUUCUUUUUUUUUUUUUUAAGAUUUAUUUAUUUAUUUUGAGAAUUUUAAUAUUUUUUAGUUAUUGGCGGACACAACAUCUCUGUUUGUACGUGGUGCUGAGGAUCGAACCCGGGCCGCACGCAUGCCAGGGGAGCGCGCUACCGCUUGAGCCACGUCCCCAGCCCCUCCUUCCCAUUCUUUUCUUCGAGCACCUGAGCCUGCUCAGGAAGACGCAGCGGAGCACACAGACUCCCGAGGCCCACAGCCCAGUUCAUACCCUGGAUCCCCAACGGCGGCCAAUGAGAUCCUUGCUUCCAACCCUUGGCUCCCUCCUGGUAUCAGAAUGAUAGAUUCUUGGCCUUAGACAUGUGACUGCAGAGUGGGCAGAGAACGUGGGAGGCGGGAGGAAGUGACUUGAUCUGGCCUCAGUGGGUCCCUGCUUCUGCUCACCUCCUUUGCCUUUCCAUCAGAAGAUACCGGUGGAAGCCACGGUCCCAGAAGGAUCAAGGUGGAGCCGGCGGACCCCCCUGCAGCCUGGAGAUGCCACCCCAGGACCCUGUGGAGGCUGGCAGACUUCUGUAAAGGCAGGAGUCCCUCUCACACCCCUCGCUCAGACACUGCCCACGACACAUGAGCCUGUAUCCAGUGGAGCUUUCUUCACCGAAUCGGAACUUGAACUUCCCAUGUCAGUUGCCCGGGCUGCACAGUAUCCCUCUUUUUGUGUUUGUGUCUGAUUAAAGCCAGGGCCUUGCUCAUGCUGAGCCUGUGCUCUUCCACUGAGUACAGCCUAGCCCUGAAAUAGCCCUCCUUAGAUUUUUUUAAACACUUUUUAAUAUUUAAAAACAUAUCAACCUUGUGUUGAGGAUAGAGCUCCACCGUAGAGUGCUUACCUAGCACGUGUCAGGCCCUGGGUUAGAGUCCCAGCACUGCCAAAAAACAUAAAUAAUAAUAAUAAUAAUAAUAAAGGAAAACAUGAAGAAUUCUUAGCUCAUGGUUUGCCCAGCCUUGCUCAGGUUCAUGAAAUUUCUUGGUUAUAAAACAAACAGGUGCCUGGAGCCUUCUGAUUGUGCAAUCUUGGAUAGACCACUUUAUUGCUUCUAAAUCUCGACUUUCUCGUCGUAAGGAGGAGACAAAUAGAAUUCUUCUCACAGAAUAAACUAAAUAAAAUAUAGGAAAUGU
rnacentral:lncRNA from 1 species